UUAUCUGACAGUACAGUUUCUCAUGACUCUACUACAGAUCAGCUUCACAUUAGUUCCUUUUUUACUGGAACGAAGAUGUUUGACAGAUUUUGGUUGUGUUUGUGUUUGUGGCGUCUGGCAGCCGCUACAACACCAGACCCACAGACUCCAGCACCUACUAUUCAUUCACCUCAUUCACGUCCUGCAGACCCAAUAUAUGUGAUAAUAGUGCUGAUCUCUGCUGCUGCUGGAUCUCUGGUGAUCGUGGCUGUAAUUGUGAAGUUUUGUAUCUGCAGGAAACACAGAGAUGCAGGUCGAGUGAAUCCACAGCUCGUACAUCUGUAAAAACAAUGAGUCUUAUUUAUGAAUCAACAAUAUUCUCCAUGUUUUGAUUGAACGUGUCUGUCAUUACAGUUCAUGAAGACGAGACUCAAGCUGCUGCAAAACUCUACAAACACACUGGACUGAUGACGGAAUCUGACGUGACGGAGGUGAUUUACACGUGUUUCAUCAAAAUUGACAUCACACAAAAUUGUAGAUAUUUGUUGUUUUGUCAGUGUAUUUUCAAAUGAUUUUUCAUAAGUUUGUGAUCCUGAAUGAUAAAUACUGCAUAUUAACAAAGAUUGCUUUACUCACACUGGAUUAUUUUUUCUUCUGUUGUCUGAUUUUAUCAAUAAAUUUUUUCCUGU